UCUUAAACUUUAGGAGGAGACUUCCAAGAAUCCUCUUGGAACCCAAUUUCUAGGGUUCCGGCUCCCCGCAUUGCGGGAUUCUAGGGUUCCGGGCGAUCUCCGAGAUGUUUCUCACGAGGACGGAGUAUGACUGGGGAGUCAACACUUUCUCGCCGGAGGGAAGGCUUUUGCAGGUCGAAAACGCAAUCGAGGCGACCAAGUUGGGUCAACUGCGAUCGGUUUGAAGACAAAUGAGCGUGUCGUGCUCGCUGUUGAGAUGCAUGUCACUUCUCCUCUGCUGAAGCCAAGUAGUGUAGAAAGAUCAUGGAGAUUGAUGAACACAUAGGUUGUGCUAUGAGUGGAUUAAUUGCUGAUGCACGCACUCUUGUUGAACAUUCACAAGUUGAAACCCAGGUGUUGUUCAUCCCCAAUUGCACUCCAAAAGUGGCAUAGGUGCUAUAAUAUUUAUAAGCAACUAAAUAUAUU